AAGAUGGCUGCCAGGUGCGGUGGCUAAGCCUGGGGACAUCUGAAGCCGGUGCCGACCAUCAGGGCCGAGUUGCGACGAGAGAGUGUUAUUAAGUCGAGUUGGCCAGGUCCCUAAGUCUUGGAUGGCGAGCUGUAGAUAGGCCUUGAGCCAGAGCCCAAGGAUCUCCACCUGGAUGGCGA